GCCCGGGUGGCGAAAUUGGUAGACGCAAGAGACUUAAAAUCUCUCGACCACUGGUCGUACCGGUUCGAUUCCGGUUCCGGGCACCA
rnacentral:tRNA from 1 species